GAUCAUGGGCUCAGGAUGAACGCUAGCUACAGGCUUAACACAUGCAAGUCGAGGGGCAGCAUGUUGGUUGCUUGCAACCGAUGAUGGCGACCGGCGCACGGGUGAGUAACGCGUAUCCAACCUACCCUUGUCCAUCGGAUAACCCGUCGAAAGGCGGCCUAACACGAUAUGCGGUUCACAGCAGGCAUCUAACGUGAACGAAAUGUGAAGGAGAAGGAUGGGG
rnacentral:rRNA from 1 species